UCCAGACCGUGCUAACAACAACA
rnacentral:siRNA from 1 species